rnacentral:rRNA from 1 species
UACGUAGGAUGCAAGCGUUGUCCGGAAUUAUUGGGCGUAAAGAGAACGUAGGUGGCUUGUUAAGUUCGGUCUUAAAGACCGGGGCUCAACCCCGGGAAUGGACUGAAAACUGGCAGGCUAGAGGAUGUCAGAGGAUGGUGGAAUUCCCAGUGUAGCGGUGAAAUGCGUAGAUAUUGGGAGGAACACCUGUGGCGAAAGCGGCCAUCUGGGGCAUUCCUGACACUGAGGUUCGAAAGCUCGGGGAGCAAACAGG